AGUAUAGAUAUAGAUAAUUUCCUUAUUCGAAACCAUAAGCGUUACGAUUUGAUGCAUGCUAUUACCUUGUCUGCCCGAGUAACUAAUGGGCAAUGACAACCAGGGGAGGGGGCAUUUACCCCCCCCCCUCAAUCGCCGUAGUUUCCCUAUGUCUUACACUUUUGAAGCCAAUUUUUGUACUUUUUGUUCUUUUAUCCUCCCCAUGCCCCGCCAAAAUCAAGCCCUGGAUCCGUCGCUGAUGGCAACCAUCACUAAUUUCACCUGUGACCCAUAGCAGCCAUUUAUAAACCAAAAAGUCCAUCGUAAAUCUCAAAAUGUCUGUUUGAGCACACCCGCCUGGUUCAAUAUUGUGAAUCUAAACCAUCCAGGGACCCAAUCGACCCCACGCAAACAAUUUCAUCAGAAUCGGUCAAGCCGUUUAUACGAGGAGUUCAAAUAGCCAAUAGACACACACGUGCCAGCUAUAAUAUUAUGGACCGUAUAUAUAAGGAGAGAAAACGAACAUUGCACGUACCGCUCAUGUACUGCGCACCCCACAGCGUGCCAUGCUGCACGUACUCGUUGUCCCGGAUCGACG